CGUGCCUAAUACAUGCAAGUCGAGCGAAUGGAUUAAGAGCUUGCUCUUAUGAAGUUAGCGGCGGACGGGUGAGUAACACGUGGGCAACCUGCCUGUAAGACUGGGAUAACUCCGGGAAACCGGAGCUAAUACCGGAUACUAUGUCAAACCGCAUGGUUUGACAUUCAAAGACGGUUUCGGCUGUCACUUACAGAUGGGCCCGCGGCGCAUUAGCUAGUUGGUGAGGUAAUGGCCCACCAAGGCGACGAUGCGUAGCCGACCUGAGAGGGUGAUCGGCCACACUGGGACUGAGACACGGCCCAGACUCCUACGGGAGGCAGCAGUAGGGAAUCUUCCGCAAUGGACGAAAGUCUGACGGAGCAACGCCGCGUGAGUGAUGAAGGCUUUCGGGUCGUAAAACUCUGUUGUUAGGGAAGAACAAGUGCUAGUUGAAUAAGCUGGCACCUUGACGGUACCUAACCAGAAAGCCACGGCUAACUACGUGCCAGCAGCCGCCGUAA
rnacentral:rRNA from 1 species